rnacentral:rRNA from 1 species
CAAUACAAGGGUAUCUAGUGGCGGACGGGUGAGUAAUGCAUGGGUAACGUGCCUUGAGACUCAGGGAUAGCGUCGGGCCCGCAAGGGUCCUUUGCGAAAGUGACGGUAAUACCUGAUGACAUCGCGGAUGGGCAUCUUUCUGCGAUCAAAGGUGGGGACCGCAAGGCCUACCAGUCCAUGAGCGGCCCAUGUCCUAUCAGCUUGUUGGUGAGGUAACGGCUCACCAAGGCUCUGACGGGUAGCCGGCGUGAGAGCGCGACCGGCCACAUCGGAACUGAGACACUGUCCGGACACCUACGGGUGGCUGCAGCAACGAAUAUUCCGCAAUGGGCGCAAGCCUGACGGAGCGACGCCGCGUGAAGGAUGAAGUCCUUCGGGAUGUAAACUUCAUUAGUUUGUCAGAAAAUGCCCCGACCUAACACGUCGGGGAGCUGAUCAGCAAACGAAAGGGACGGCUAACUCCGUGCCAGCAGCCGCGGUAAGACGGAGGUCCCGAGCGUUGUUCGGAAUUAUUGGGCUUAAAGCGCGUGUAGGCGGAACGGUAAGUACCUUGUGAAAUCCCCGGACUCAAUCCGGGAACUGCUUGGUAUACUGCCGAUCUCGAGGCAGGUAGGGGUCACUGGAACCUUAGGUGGAGCGGUGAAAUGCGUAGAUAUCUAAGGGAACGCCUGUGGCGAAAGCGGGUGACUGGGCCUGUCCUGACGCUGAGACGCGAAAGCGUAGGGAGCAAACGGGAUUAGAUACCCCGGUAGUCUACGCCGUAAACGAUGCGCACUAGGUUCGAAGGUCUCUGACGAUCCUC